UCAGGGUUAGUUAUCGGUGGAUAUCGCAGCUUAUUGCACUCCUUAUUUAUGCAGUUCUACUCAUGCCUGGUUUCAUAAAAGUUGGGUACUACUAUUUCUUUUCAAGACAUGUUAUUAGAAGUGUAAUCUAUGGAGAACAACCAAGAAAUAGGUUGGAUUUGUACAUACCUAAAG